ACCUCACGGUGGGUUUGUCAAAUCUGUGGUUAAUCAGGUGACUGAAUCAGUAAAGAGCGUCACGCUGCUCUGUUUGCGUUCUUGUUUUUGUCUGAUCUGGUCUCUCUGACGCUCCCCUCCUCUCUCUGUCUCUCUGUGGUGGCUGUACAGUCCAGAACUCCGGCGCUCGUCUUUGAAUGCAUCAAUAACACAGACUUCAAGGAGCUGUACCAGAAGUUGACAGAUUAUGAUAUUCGUUUCUAUAUGUAUGAACUACUGAAGGCUCUGGACUACUGUCACAGUAUGGGAAUCAUGCACCGUGACGUCAAACCCCACAAUGUGAUGAUCGACCACCAGUUGAGAAAGGUAGGUGGUGCUUUAUAUAGCCCGAUCCUUUCUAUUUUCCUUC